AACGAACGCUGGCGGCAGGCCUAACACAUGCAAGUCGAGCGAGACCUUCGGGUUUAGCGGCGGACGGGUUAGUAACGCGUGGGAACGUGUCCUUUUCUACGGAAUAGUCUCGGAAAACUGAGGGUAAUACCGUAUACGCCCUUCGGGGGAAAGAUUUAUCGGAGAAGGAUCGGCCCGCGUCUGAUUAGAUAGUUGGUGGGGUAAUGGCCUACCAAGUCUACGAUCAGUAGCUGGUUUUAGAGGAUGAUCAGCAACACUGGGACUGAGACACGGCCCAGACUCCUACGGGAGGCAGCAGUGGGGAAUCUCAGACAAUGGGCGCAAGCCUGAUCUAGCCAUGCCGCGUGAGUGAUGAAGGCCUUAGGGUCGUAAAGCUCUUUCGCCAGGGAUGAUAAUGACAGUACCUGGUAAAGAAACCCCGGCUAACUCCGUGCCAGCCGCCGCCGUAAUAC
rnacentral:rRNA from 1 species